CUGGGAGUCGUUUUUGAUUAGAAGUUGACCUCAGAAAUAUGCUCACAUCAUUUUGAAAGCAUCUUCCAGCACCACAGAAAUCGACUCAGAUGGAGAAAGGACACUGAGUGGACAGGGGCCAGGAUGGGGCGUGGACGCUCUGCCUCUGCCGGGGACAAGGCCUUCCCACAGACUCCCUGGGGUGUUGCCAGCCUGAGUCAGAGAUAUUGAUGUAACGCCUACCGUGUUCCAGACACGCUGCGAGGCCCUGGGGAUGCAGCCGCAAUCCCAACAGAUCUGAUGCCUGCUCUCACGGAACUGACUUUGCACUGGGGGGAGGCCAACUCCACGAAAACAGAAACUGGAUGAUACAUUGGAGGGAGAGCUGUAAAGGAGCAAGCAGAGAGCAAGAACAACAGUGUUGCCAUGGGGCGGGUGGACCCGCUGUAGCCAGGGAGGGCCUCUCCGAAGUUAUAACAGUGCCUUGCUGAAUUCACUCCCACGACCCCUACAUGCUUGGGUCAGGAUGCAUGAACCUGAAAGCACAUGAAGUCCUCUCUGGGAUCUUCUGCCUUUGGUCCUAACUGUUCUCAGGGGGAAGCAACUCUGAAGGCCGAGGUAAGUUUCCUAAGCAACCGGGCCUGCUGGUCUUGAGCCCUCCCCUGUGCCUUUUUUUUGAGUCUCCCUCUGUCACACAGGCUGGAGUGCAGUGGCGCCAUCUCGCCUCCAGGUUCAAGCGAUUCUCCUGC